rnacentral:rRNA from 1 species
CUCGUAGGUGGUUGGUCACGUCUGCUGUGGAAACGCAACGCUUAACGUUGCGCGUGCAGUGGGUACGGGCUGACUAGAGUGCAGUAGGGGAGUCUGGAAUUCCUGGUGUAGCGGUGAAAUGCGCAGAUAUCAGGAGGAACACCGGUGGCGAAGGCGGGACUCUGGGCUGUAACUGACACUGAGGAGCGAAAGCAUGGGGAGCGAACAGGAUUAGAUACCCCCGUA